rnacentral:rRNA from 1 species
AGUGAACGCUGGCGGUAGGCCUAACACAUGCAAGUCGAACGGCAGCACAGUAAGAGCUUGCUCUUACGGGUGGCGAGUGGCGGACGGGUGAGGAAUACAUCGGAAUCUACUUUUUCGUGGGGGGUAACGUAGGGAAACUUACGCUAAUACCGCAUACGACCUACGGGUGAAAGCAGGGGAUCUUCGGACCUUGCGCGAUUGAAUGAGCCGAUGUCGGAUUAGCUAGUUGGCGGGGUAAAGGCCCACCAAGGCGACGAUCCGUAGCUGGUCUGAGAGGAUGAUCAGCCACACUGGAACUGAGACACGGUCCAGACUCCUACGGUAGACAGCAGUGGGUAAUAUGGGACAAUGGGCGCAAGCCUGAUCCAGCCAUACCGCGUGGGUGAAGAAGUCCUUCGGGUUGUAAAGCCCUUUUGUUGGGAAAGAAAAGCAGCAGGUUAAUACCCCGCUGUUCGGACGGUACCCAAAGAAUAAGCACAGGCUAACUUCGU